rnacentral:lncRNA from 1 species
CAAUCACAAACACAAUGAUUUUAUAGUGGUUCGGAGCUAACCCUUGCUCCUACGUCCACUCCCCAAGCCUCACUUGGGAAUUCACUAUAACCCCUCGGAUUACAGCCGGUUGUUUUAUAAGCUCACAACCCAACUUGUUGUUUUACGAGGUCACAACGAACUCGGUCGGUUUUCCCAGGCUCACCGACUAGAACCACCCGAUUGUUUUUCCGGGAUCACAAUCGAACCCUUACACGUUGGUUUCAACCUAGGCUCACCAACAAACCUUUACACCCUUGAUUCAAUCCCCUG